GGCGAUUUCUCCUGUGGAGACCUAAGAGGGUCUAAGAGGGCAUAGUGAUUAGAGUAGGAAUUCUGGCAGUUCAUCCUUCAGUAGCUUGAAUCGAGCUCUUUGCAACUCUAAGAAGGGUAACAGAGGAAGUUGGGCAAACCCAGUCCACAUUCCCCUAAACCCUCUUCCUUUCCUUUUUUCUACAACACAGAUCCAGGGCCUGCCUGCCUGUAUUCCCUUCCAGGCUGCCAAAUGCCAAGACCUGCUCCAGACGAAGGCUGCUUUGGCCAACCAAGACUCAUCUGCCCCCAGGGGGUCACAUGGCCAAGCCCUUUUAGAUUUCAUCAGUGAAAUGCUGGGGUCAUUUAAAGUCACGGCUUUGAAAUCAGUGAAACAACUAACAAACCCAAGGCAACACGGUUAGUUUUCAUAAACCAUUUAUUGCAGAUUUCACAGGAUAAUACCAAUUUGAAAGUUUAUUUCCUGUUGUUCUCCAACAGUUAUUGAACUUGUCACAGUACACAUCCAAAACAUUUCUAUUAUUGUUUUGUGAAAAAUUCCAUAUGACUCUAAUGUUGUCUUUUAAAUGCUGAAAUUAACUUCCCUGUAUACGUGCUGUCUCUUGACUCAGAACAUAAGGUUUUUUAACAGGGCCAUGUUUGGUUGAGAACAGGUUGGGAGGGAUGUGGGAGGCAAAGGAUUUUGGGUUGAGUCUGGUCUGGUUAGCUCAGGUGUCUGGAAGAGGGCUCUGAAAUGUCCUUGGGAAGCCCUUAAUCUCAGAUGUGCUGAAUUUGGGGGUUAAUAAUUAAAAUUGUACCAUGUUUUACACUUGAAUAUGCCUAAGAUGGUAUUUGUAAAACAUUAGGUGACCCUAAUUACAUCUUAGAAUCAUCUACUCUAGGUGCUUACUUCUGAGAAGAAGUAAGAAAUAUUCCAAAGUUCCCAUAUCAGACAAACAGGAAAAGGAGCAGGGAAUGUUUGAUGAGGAAUUAUAGACAAACAGCCCAACUAUGCCCUGAACCACAAAUCUGCACGUAGCGCAAAAAGAGCUGAUUCAACUGAGAGCUGGCUGAUAUUAGCGAGCAGAGAGAGAAUCAAGAACAUGAAAUUCCUGCCAUGUCAGGUCUCUGGGGCCAUUGCAAUUA
rnacentral:lncRNA from 1 species